UGGGCUAACUACGUGGCAUGAGCCGGGGUAAGACGUACGAUGCAAGCGUUGUCCGGUUUCAUUGGGCGUAAAGAGGUCGUAGGCGGUUUAUUAAGUUUGAUGUUAAAGAUCAGGGCCCAACCCUGGGAGUGCAUUGGAGACUGGUAGACUUGAGUGCAGUAGAGGCGAGUGGAAUUCCCAGUGUAGCGGUGAAAUGCGUAGAUAUUGGGAAGAACACCGGUGGCGCAGGCGACUCGCUGGGCUGUAACUGACGCUGAGGAACGAAAGCUAGGGGAGCAAAUGGGAUUAAACCCUUGUAGUC
rnacentral:rRNA from 1 species